GAUGAACGCUAGCGGCAGGCCUAACAUAUGCAAGUCGAGGGGCAUCAUGGCGUAGCAAUACGCUGAUGGCGACCGGCGCACGGGUGCGUAACGCGUAUGGAACCUACCCACCGCAGGGGGAUAACCCGCCGAAAGGCGGACUAAUACCCCAUGGUUCCCCGACCCUGCCUGGGGUUGGGGGUAAAGCCUACGGGCGGCGGUGGAUGGCCCUGCGUGCCAUUAGCUGGCUGGUGGGGUAACGGCCCACCAGGGCGACGAUGGCUAGGGGGUCUGAGAGGACGAUCCCCCACACUGGUACUGAGACACGGACCAGACUCCUACGGGAGGCAGCAGUGAGGAAUAUUGCGCAAUGGGGGAAACCCUGACGCAGCAACGCCGCGUGAGUGAGGAAGGACUUCGGUCUGUAAAGCUCUGUUAAUGUGGAAAAUGGUAGUUGGUCUAAUAGGCCGAUUAUUUGAUGGUACACAUAGAGGAAGCACCGGCUAACUUCGUGCCAGCAGCCGCGGUAAA
rnacentral:rRNA from 1 species